AACGAACGCUGGCGGCAGGCCUAACACAUGCAAGUCGAGCGAGGACUUCGGUUCUAGCGGCGGACGGGUGAGUAACGCGUGGGAAUAUGCCCUUCUCUACGGAAUAGCCUCGGGAAACUGAGCGUAAUACCGUAUACGCCCUUUGGGGGAAAGAUUUAUCGGAGAAGGAUUAGCCCGCGUUGGAUUAGGUAGUUGGUGGGGUAAUGGCCUACCAAGCCUACGAUCCAUAGCUGGUUUGAGAGGAUGAUCAGCCACACUGGGACUGAGACACGGCCCAGACUCCUACGGGAGGCAGCAGUGGGGAAUCUUAGACAAUGGGGGCAACCCUGAUCUAGCCAUGCCGCGUGAGUGAUGAAGGCCUUAGGGUUGUAAAGCUCUUUCAGCUGGGAAGAUAAUGACGGUACCAGCAGAAGAAGCCCCGGCUAACUCCGUGCCAGCCGCCGCAGUAAAAC
rnacentral:rRNA from 1 species